rnacentral:rRNA from 1 species
AAAAAAUGACUCUCGGCAACGGAUAUCUCGGCUCUCGCAUCGAUGAAGAACGUAGCGAAAUGCGAUACUUGGUGUGAAUUGCAGAAUCCCGUGAACCAUCGAGUCUUUGAACGCAAGUUGCGCCCGAAGCCGUCAGGCUGAGGGCACGUCUGCCUGGGCGUCACGCAUCGCGUCGCCCCCUCCUCGA